AAGAGCCGGAUGAAGCGAGAGUAUCACGUCCGGUUCUGUGUGAGCCUCAAGGGGCGGUUCCUUGUGCCAUUCGAU
rnacentral:ncRNA from 1 species